rnacentral:rRNA from 1 species
CGGAGGUGCGAGCGUUAAUCGGAAUAACUGGGCGUAAGGGCACGCAGGCGGUUAUUUAAGUGAGGUGUGAAAGCCCCGGGCUUAACCUGGGAAUUGCAUUUCAGACUGGGUAACUAGAGUACUUUAGGGAGGGUAGAAUUCCACGUGUAGCGGUGAAAUGCGUAGAGAUGUGGAGGAAUACCGAAGGCGAAGGCAGCCCCUUGGGAAUGUACUGACGCUCAUGUGCGAAAGCGUGGGGAGCAAACAGGAUU